UGGGGAAUAUUGGACAAUGGGGGAAACCCUGAUCCAGCCAUCCCGCGUGUGCGAUGAAGGCCUUCGGGUUGUAAAGCACUUUUGGCAGGAAAGAAACGUCGCGGGUUAAUACCCCGCGAAACUGACGGUACCUGCAGAAUAAGCACCGGCUAACUACGUGCCAGCAGCCGCGGUAAUACGUAGGGUGCAAGCGUUAAUCGGAAUUACUGGGCGUAAAGCGUGCGCAGGCGGUUCGGAAAGAAAGAUGUGAAAUCCCAGAGCUUAACUUUGGAGCUGCAUUUUUAACUACCGGGCUAGAGUGUGUCAGAGGGAGGUGGAAUUCCGCGUGUAGCAGUGAAAUGCGUAGAUAUGCGGAGGAACACCGAUGGCGAAGGCAGCCUCCUGGGAUAACACUGACGCUCAUGCACGAAAGCGUGGGGAGCAAACAGGAUUAGAUACCCUGGUAGUCCACGCCCUAAACGAUGUCAACUAGCUGUUGGGGGCCUUCGGGCCUUGGUAGCGCAGCUAACGCGUGAAGUUGACCGCCUGGGGAGUACGGUCGCAAGAUUAAAACUUAAAUGAAUUGAC
rnacentral:rRNA from 1 species